rnacentral:lncRNA from 1 species
AGAGACUGCACAUGGGAAAAUUGAACUGUUAAACAAUAUAAUCCGGACAUGUUCGAAGUAAGACGCAGUUCUAGCCUAUACGAUUUGAUGCGGAUUAUCCAUUACGUCAGCAACUGUAACACCAGCAUUAACACGGUCAAUCUCUGGUAUAAGGGACUGCAGAAAACUAAUGUCGUCAACCGGCUAUCCUCCU